UACGUAGGCAGCGAGCGUUGUCCGGAGUUACUGGGCGUAAAGGGUGUGUAGGCGGUUGUUUAAGUUUGGUGUGAAAUCUCCCGGCUCAACUGGGAGGGCGCGCCGAAUACUGAAUGACUAGAGUGCGGGAGAGGAAAGUGGAAUUCCUGGUGUAGCGGUGAAAUGCGUAGAUAUCAGGAGGAACACCGGUGGUGUAGACGGCUUUCUGGACCGUAACUGACGCUGAGACACGAAAGCGUGGGUAGCAAACAGG
rnacentral:rRNA from 1 species